rnacentral:tRNA from 1 species
AAGUCUUUAGUAUAUUUAGUAUAUUUAAUUGCAGAUUAAAUGGUAAUGGACUU